UGGAUGGGCCCGCGGCGCAUUAGCUAGUUGGUGGGGUAAAGGCUUACCAAGGCAAUGAUGCGUAGCCGAACUGAGAGGUUGAUCGGCCACAUUGGGACUGAGACACGGCCCAAACUCCUACGGGAGGCAGCAGUAGGGAAUCUUCCACAAUGGGCGAAAGCCUGAUGGAGCAACGCCGCGUGGGUGAAGAAGGUCUUCGGAUCGUAAAACCCUGUUGUUAGAGAAGAAAGUGCGUGAGAGUAACUGUUCACGUUUCGACGGUAUCUAACCAGAAAGCCACGGCUAACUACGUGCCAGCAGCCGCGGUAAUACGUAGGUGGCAAGCGUUAUCCGGAUUUAUUGGGCGUAAAGGGAACGCAGGCGGUCUUUUAAGUCUGAUGUGAAAGCCUUCGGCUUAACCGGAGUAGUGCAUUGGAAACUGGGAGACUUGAGUGCAGAAGAGGAGAGUGGAACUCCAUGUGUAGCGGUGAAAUGCGUAGAUAUAUGGAAGAACACCAGUGGCGAAAGCGGCUCUCUGGUCUGUAACUGACGCUGAGGUUCGAAAGCGUGGGUAGCAAACAGGAUUAGAUACCCUGGUAGUCCACGCCGUAAACGAUGAGUGCUAAGUGUUGGAGGGUUUCCGCCCUUCAGUGCUGCAGCUAACG
rnacentral:rRNA from 1 species